AGUGAACGCUGGCGGUAGGCCUAACACAUGCAAGUCGAACGGCAGCACAGUAAGAGCUUGCUCUUACGGGUGGCGAGUGGCGGACGGGUGAGGAAUACAUCGGAAUCUACUUUUUCGUGGGGGAUAACGUAGGGAAACUUACGCUAAUACCGCAUACGACCUACGGGUGAAAGCAGGGGAUCUUCGGACCUUGCGCGAUUGAAUGAGCCGAUGUCGGAUUAGCUAGUUGGCGGGGUAAAGGCCCACCAAGGCGACGAUCCGUAGCUGGUCUGAGAGGAUGAUCAGCAACACUGGAACUGAGACACGGUCCAGACUCCUACGGGCGGCAGCAGUGGGGAAUAUUGGACAAUGGGCGCAAGCCUGAUCCAGCCAUACCGCGUGGGUGAAGAAGGCCUUCGGGUUGUAAAGCCCUUUUGUUGGGAAAGAAAAGCAGCAGGUUAAUACCCCGCUGUUCUGACGGUACCCAAAGAAUAAGCACCGGCUAACUUCGUG
rnacentral:rRNA from 1 species